GACAGAGGAUGCAAGCGUUAUCCGGAAUCACUGGGCGUAAAGCGUCUGUAGGUGGUUUAAAAAGUCUACUGUUAAAAAUUGAAGCUUAACUUCAAAGAUGCCGUAGAAACUUUUAAACUUGAGGAUGGUAGGGGUAGAGGGAAUUUCCAGUGGAGCGGUGAAAUGCGUAGAGAUCGGAAAGAACACCAACGGCGAAAGCACUCUGCUGGGCCGACACUGACACUGAGAGACGAAAGCUAGGGGAGCGAAUGGG
rnacentral:rRNA from 1 species